rnacentral:lncRNA from 1 species
AAUUCAAAUAAAUUUUGUCCAAAAAGAUAGAUCUCAUCGAUCAAUCAUUUUCCAAAUCCGAAGCCGAGCUGAGCCGAGCCAGCAACGACAACGACGGCGCGAGGCAUCUCUUAUUUCUUGCCUCACUUACCAUGUGGGGUAAGUGUUCAUCAUUAUAAACACUCCAAAGUUCCUUUCUCCCACCAAUGUGGGAGAAUUAGUGCACUUUCCAAUUUUGGGAGUACACUUUCCAAAUUGGUGUCUCCUCUUCUCCACCAUUUUUUCUCUAUUUUCCAUUCACACUUCUCCUCUUCUAUGAACACUUCUAUAUAUAUAUAAAAAAUAUAAUAUAAUAUAUUAAAAGUGUGAAGACCCUUAAAAAAGUGAUUUGAACUUUUUAAUUUCUUUAAAAGUCUCUGCAAUGGAUAAAAUUAUUUUUUCACCUUUUUCCUUAAUUUAUUAUUUAAUUAUUUUUAUAAUGUUGAAUCCUAAAAUAUAUUGAAUUAGAUCGAAAAUAUAUGGUAAACUUUUAACUAUUAAAUUAGGAGUCAGUAAAAACUUCAAAUAAGUUGCCUCCAUGUUAGUGACUAAUUUUUCUAAAACCUUAAUACCAACCGUAGAAUGUUUUCUUGUUUUCUAUCUACUGGUCACCUCCAACCAUUGUCAUACUAAGAAUAUAUUUACAAUCCUUCUGUCAGGUUUGUGUUUAUUAAGUUAUUAGUUUAAUCGCACGUGCCUUGUUUGUGUCUUUGGUUGAAACUCAUAUGCUGACAUGAUCAUAGCUUAAACCAGC